GGGCUGGGGCUCAGCGGUAGAGCACUCGCUUAGCACCUGUGAGGCCCUGGGUUCAAUCCUCAGCACCACA
rnacentral:tRNA from 1 species